rnacentral:lncRNA from 1 species
AAACCUUGUGGGAAAAUGGUGCCUAUUUUUGACAACUGGAUGUCUUCGUGGCCGAGGUCCCUAUGACCUUCCUCUCAAAAGAAUACGUGUAGUUUUAGUUCUCAGACAUCUGGGUCUUGCUCUGUUGCCCAGGCUAGAGUGCAGUAAUGUGAUCAUGGCUCACUGAAGCCUCAGCCUCCGCCUCCUGGGCUCAAGUGAGCCUCCUACCUCAGCCUCCCGAGUAACUGGGACCACAGCAUGUUCUUUUAAACUUCCUAAAGAAGCCCAUGAUAACUGGGAACACGGGCCCUUCACUGAGGCAGGAGAAUCACAUGAGCCACACAUGAUAUCCACUGGAGGAGACAGAAAGUCUGGGAGUGUCAACUGAAUUGAAAGAAAAGGAAAGCAGAGAUGACAGACAGCACACCGGAAGUGACAGGAUAAGCAGUGCAUCUAGCUGGGAAAUAUGUACACUGCCUCCUUCUAUAUCUCAAAAAUCAUCUAGAAUGUUAGAGUGAUUUUCUGGGUCAGAGGGAAGACACGUCUUCAUUUGUUAACUUUUAGAUUUGCGUACCAACUUAUUACUGUAAGCAAUUUAAUUGCAAAGGAUAAAGAACAAGAUAUGAUGCAUCAUCAGGAGAAAAGUCAAGAAUCCAUGUUUAAAUUCAGUUACCUUAUGUAAUCGAAGGUAUACAUGAGCCGAAGAGAGUUUGUCCACAUGAAACCUACAAAGAAUGAAAACCACUUUUAGCAAGAGGUACAAGACAAUCAUCUCCUCAGGCCACAUGCCAUUUAAAGCAUUCUGUUCUAAAAAGUCUUCACUCCAUGCCUGCCACAUGUGAAGCAUCAUGAGGAGUAUAAAGCACAGUCACCACCUCCAAAGGGCUCCCCAUCACCAUGAAGAGGUACGAGAAACACUGAAUUAUGGAGCUGUGAGUAAGUGCCAAGAUGAGUAGAGAUACUAAAUAUUAACUGUACUGGGAAGGGUGAUUUUUCAAGAUAUAAAAAGAACUAUCAGUGAUCAAAGGCUUCAUGAUAAAAAGGAGGCAGUGAGAUUUGGUUGGCCCCUGACUGAAGCAUAGGACUUAGAGCAAAACCAAGGAAAGGAAUUUCAGGUGAAAAGAGUGGGGGAUGAAAGAAGUCAGCAAGUCUCCAAUGCUGCCAGCCUGGGAGAUUAGCAGAACCACAGUUUGGCGGAAACAGAUGACAGUUUCGUUUGUGACAUCCCAAAUUUCAAGUUAUAGCAAAACAAUCCAAAGAGAAUGUCGAAUAGAGAGCUGGAAGAGUUAGGUGGGGCCUAAAGACGCUAAGCAGAACACGUCAUUAAAUGGGUCACAAUUCAAUAAUGUAACCCAAUAAUUCACAAGCACAACAGUUCAUCCGGCCCUAUAUUCUGACAGUGAUACCAAUAUAUGUCUCUUGGGUGAGCACUGCCCUUUACUGACAUUGUCCUAAAAACAUUCAGAAUGUCCCCCACCCCUUAAAUUUACCUUUCAUGAUGGAUCUAUCAUCUAUCAAUUUAAUUAAACCUUUUAAAAUCUA